rnacentral:rRNA from 1 species
GAUGAACGCUGGCGGCGUGCCUAAUACGUGCAAGUCGAGCGAAUGGAUUAAGAGCUUGCUCUUAUGAAGUUAGCGGCGGACGGGUGAGUAACACGUGGGUAACCUGCCCAUAAGACUGGGAUAACUCCGGGAAACCGGGGCUAAUACCGGAUAACAUUUUGAACCGCAUGGUUCGAAAUUGAAAGGCGGCUUCGGCUGUCACUUAUGGAUGGACCCGCGUCGCAUUAGCUAGUUGGUGAGGUAACGGCUCACCAAGGCAACGAUGCGUAGCCGAGCUGAGAGGGUGAUCGGCCACACUGGGACUGAGACACGGCCCAGACUCCUACGGGAGGCAGCAGUAGGGGAUCUUCCGCAAUGGACGAAAGUCUGACGGAGCAACGCCGCGUGAGUGAUGAAGGCUUUCGGGUCGUAAAACUCUGUUGUUAGGGAAGAACAAGUGCUAGUUGAAUAAGCUGGCACCUUGACGGUACCUAACCAGAAAGCCACGGCUAACUACGUGCCAGCCGCCGCAGUAA